UAUGUGAUCGUCUCUCGCAUAUCAAUAAGCGGAGGAAAAGAAACUAACAAGGAUUCCCCUAGUAACGGCGAGUGAAGCGGGAAGAGCUCAAAUUUGAAAUCUUAAAGGGUUUCCCUUUACGAAUUGUAGUUUAAAGAAGUGUUUUCUGUUGAGGUUUUGGUAAAAGUUCUUUGGAAUAGGACAUCAUAGAGGGUGAGAAUCCCGUAUUUGACCUUUACUUUCAACUUUGUGAUACACUUUCAAAGAGUCGGAUUGUUUGGGAAUGCAGUCCAAAAUGGGUGGUAAAUUUCAUCUAAAGCUAAAUAUUGGCGAGAGACCGAUAGCGAACAAGUACCGUGAGGGAAAGAUGAAAAGAACUUUGAAAAGAGAGUUAAACAGUACGUGAAAUUGUCAAAAGAGAAGCGUUUGACACCAGUGUUGUUUUUCUGAAAAUCAAUUAAAGAACUGUUUAUGCUAAGCUGUUUAGACUUUAUCAGCUAACUGUUUAGUUUUGAGCUUUUCUUUAAUGCACUUUUCAGUUAACAAGUCAACAUCAAUUUCUUUUGCUGUAAAAAAGCUUGAGGAAGGUGGCUUGAGAUUCGUCUUAAGUGUUUAUAGCCUCUUGCCUAUGCAGUCGGAGAGAUUGAGGUCUGCAGCGUAGAUCCUUCGGGGCUAAAUGCAUUUGUGCUAAGUUAUAGCAUUUUAUAGACAACUUGUUGACUAUGAUUUGUCUUGUAGCUUACUCGCUUAUGUUAUUUUACCUACGCUUAGGAUGUUGAACGCGCACAGAGUCUC
rnacentral:rRNA from 1 species